rnacentral:rRNA from 1 species
UACGGAGGAGGCAAGCGUUAUCCGGAAUUAUUGGGCGUAAAGCGUCCGUAGGUGGCUCUUCAAGUCUGCUGUCAAAGAGUGGGGCUUAACCCUGCAAAGGCAGUGGAAACUGAAAGGCUAGAGAGCCGUAGGGGUAGAGGGAAUUCCCGGUGUAGCGGUGAAAUGCGUAGAGAUCGGGAGGAAGGCCGGUGGCGAAGGCGGCGCUCUGGAACGUUACUGACGCUGAGACACGAAAGCGUGGGGAGCAAACAGG